AUAAAAGAAUCUAAUUUUCUUUUCAUUCUUGGUUUUCAUCAUUUUUCUCUGAAUUUCUUAUUUUCCCUGAACUCCAAAACCCAAGCGAAUGAGUGAGUCAAGCAAAGAUAAUCAUUAAUCAAUUGUUGUUUCAGAUCCUUGAAGUGAAUUAGUAUAGAGGUUGCAAAUGGGUGGUCUUGCUGUGGAAUCACGUUUGAGAGUUAGAAUUUAGCAUGGGAGAGUGAGCUACAAGAAGCUUGCGGCAGCGAAGCUGGAGACACAAAGUUGGUAUUCACUUUGUCGUCUUUACAUAUAUGUAUAUAUAUCAUGGCAUGAUUAAUAGAUGAAUUUGAGAUUGUUUUGGAGAUGCUGUUCAUGUUUGAUUUGUUUAAAUUUUCCAUUGUAUAGUACUUAAAUGCAUUUUAAAUGAAUGUUAAACACAUAUUUUAUUAAUGAAAGUAUUUCAGUUCAUAUA